CAGAGGAAGCCAUGCUAACCGUGGUUUGAUAUUAAAGACUAAGGGGGUGCGGAAUUACUGACUAAUCUAGGCUUUCUGGUGGAGAACAUUAGUUGAACAAUGCCCCUUUGAAUUUUCGGAAGCAGGCCACAGGAUCCUGCCUACUCUGGGAUUGGAGCAGACCCUGGAGGCCAGUUGGAGGCCUGGUAGAGUCCUAUUUCCAGAGCUUCCGAUCGGAGUGAUUUACAUUUCAAAGGCUUCAGGAUCCACUGCAAAGAAACACUUUGGGGAAAGACUAUUUCUAAUUCCCAAUGACUGAAAAGGCUAGGUAAUUGCUGGCCACCCAGCUGAGGCCUAUAAGCAAGAAUUUCACAGGGAAACAAGAGAAGGUCACGUGCAGCCAAGCGAGAGCGGAGACUGCAACAUGCAGGGGAGCAAAUAUGGGAGCCAAAAUCAAAAGCACGGCGGCUAUGGCUACAGCUUACCUGAAUUCUAGCCUUCCACAUGUAGCUACCUUCCACAUGUAGCUACCACCGAGCUUCAGAACACAGAAGAACUAAGUGUUAAAGGACAGGUGUUCUGUAAGUGGCCAGAUUCGUGAAGCCUACAUCAGGAUCAGAAGCUAGGUAGACGUCUCAUCUCCUGUCUAUCAGCAGACAUUGUGGAACAGUGCUGUGGACCAAUUCCAGGUCCUGGGGACACACACUACUCUGCCACUGACUUCUUUGGAUACAUCUUUCCAGGUGUCACCAGGUACAAAACGGAUCCUUUCCUUCAGAAGAGAAGCAGUGAGUUUUGUUGCAGCACAUGGGCUUGGAAGACUUCCGAUCCUGCCUUCCUGGUCAUUCUCUGCUGUUAUCUGAGUAACACUGACCAAGUGACUUAUCCUCUUUGGGCCCUCACUUCCUCAUCUGAAAAACAUAGAUGGCGUGCGGGAAGGAUUGGCAAUGCCAGGAUGAAAGAUCUUUCCUAUGGGUGGACAGCUUUCUGCAGGCCUCCCUAGUGUGCCAAGUUCUACCAACAAGCAAGAGCCAAGACCACGGAAACUGUGACCAGCAUAAUACAAAUUGUGUUUUCUGAGCACUGGAUUAAAAAAGAACCUCUAAGAUAAAAACUGGAAGUAGUUUUCUCAAGAGGGGACUGCUGCUGCCCCAUGGAGUCAGGACAAAGCCCUGCCGUCUGUUUGGUGCAUUGUGGAAUCUCACAUUGCUCACAUUCCGCCAACCCUCGAGAUAGGCAGCACUAUGACCAUUGUCCUCAUUUAGGACCUGCAAAAACUGAGUUCCAAUCAGUAAAGCCAGUUGCCCCAGGAAACGAGCUGAUGGGUGGAUGAGGCAGUAUCUCCUCUGGCCACAGCAGGCCAGCAAUCCUGAGCCACUCUGUAGGCCUGCAAUGGAGGGAGGCUCUUAUACUCUAACCAUCAGUGUUAACAAACUGAGAGACCCUUUUAUGGUCCCAGGCUUAUAGCUGGUGUGUGUGUGUGUGUGUGUGUGUGUAGCCAUGCAGAUGGUUAGCUCAUUAAUAAA